rnacentral:rRNA from 1 species
UACGUAGGGUGCAAGCGUUAAUCGGAAUUACUGGGCGUAAAGCGUGCGCAGGCGGUUUUGUAAGUCUGUCGUGAAAGCUCCGGGCUCAACCUGGGAAUUGCGAUGGAGACUGCAAGGCUUGAAUCUGGCAGAGGGGGGUAGAAUUCCACGUGUAGCAGUGAAAUGCGUAGAGAUGUGGAGGAACACCGAUGGCGAAGGCAGCCCCCUGGGUCAAGAUUGACGCUCAUGCACGAAAGCGUGGGGAGCAAACAGG